GUGCUCGCUUCGGCAGCACGCGUACUAAAGACGGGAACAAUACAGAGAAGAUAAGCACGGCCCCUGCGCCACAAUGACACGCAAAUUCGUAAAUUUAAAUUAAUGAAA